AACGAACGCUGGCGGCAUGCCUAACACAUGCAAGUCGAACGAGACCUUCGGGUCUAGUGGCGCCCGGGUGCGUAACGCGUGGUAACCUGCCCUUAGGUUCGGCAUAACUCCCCGAAAGGGGUGCUAAUACCGGAUAAUGUCUUCGGACCAAAGAUUUAUCGCCUUUGGAUGUGCCCGCGUUGGAUUAGCUAGUUGGUAGGGUAAAAGCCUUCCAAGGCGACGAUCCAUAGCUGGUCUGAGAGGAUGAUCAGCCACACUGGGACUGGGACACGGCCCAGACUCCUACGGGAGGCAGCAGUGGGGAAUAUUGGACAAUGGGCGAAAGCCUGAUCCAGCAAUGCCGCGUGAGUGAUGAAGGCCUUAGGGUUGUAAAGCUCUUUUAACCGGGAUGAUAAUGACAGUACCGGGAGAAUAAGCACCGGCUAACUCCGUG
rnacentral:rRNA from 1 species